GGUUUUUAUAGUUGAAUCAACAGGAGUUUUUCAGACUUCAAGUCUAGGUUAGAGUCCUAGUAAGAACC
rnacentral:tRNA from 1 species